UCUAUGGCUUUCGUCAGCUCGUGUCGUGAGAUGUUGGGUUAAGUCCCGCAACGAGCGCAACCCUUAUCUUUAGUUGCCAGCACUUCGGGUGGGAACUCUAAAGAGACUGCCGGUGACAAACCGGAGGAAGGUGGGGAUGACGUCAAGUCAUCAUGGCCCUUAUGGCCAGGGCUACACACGUGCUACAAUGGUCGGUACAGAGGGUAGCCAAACCGCGAGGGGGAGCCAAUCCCCCAAAGCCGAUCCUAGUCCGGAUUGCAGUCUGCAACUCGACUGUGAAGUCGGAAUCGCUAGUAAUCGUGGAUCAGCAUG
rnacentral:rRNA from 1 species